rnacentral:rRNA from 1 species
UACGGAGGGAGCUAGCGUUGUUCGGAAUUACUGGGCGUAAAGCGCACGUAGGCGGCUUUGUAAGUUAGAGGUGAAAGCCCGGGGCUCAACUCCGGAACUGCCUUUAAGACUGCAUCGCUUGAAUCCAGGAGAGGUGAGUGGAAUUCCGAGUGUAGAGGUGAAAUUCGUAGAUAUUCGGAAGAACACCCGUGGCGAAGGCGGCUCUCUGGAACGCAACUGACGCUGAGACGCGAAAGCGUGGGGAGCAAACAGG